rnacentral:rRNA from 1 species
GUGGGGAAUAUUGCACAAUGGACGAAAGUCUGAUGCAGCAACGCCGCGUGGAGGAUGACACAUUUCGGUGCGUAAACUCCUUUUAUAUAAGAAGAUAAUGACGGUAUUAUAUGAAUAAGCACCGGCUAACUCCGUGCCAGCAGCCGCGGUAAUACGGGGGGUGCAAGCGUUACUCGGAAUCACUGGGCGUAAAGAGCAUGUAGGCGGAUUAAUAAGGUUGAAGUGAAAUCCUAUAGCUUAACUAUAGAACUGCUUUGAAAACUGUUAGUCUAGAAUGUGGGAGAGGUAGAUGGAAUUUCUGGUGUAGGGGUAAAAUCCGUAGAGAUCAGAAGGAAUACCGAUUGCGAAGGCGAUCUACUGGAACAUUAUUGACGCUGAGAUGCGAAAGCGUGGGGAGCAAACAGGAUUAGAAACCCGUGUAGUCC